rnacentral:lncRNA from 1 species
UCUAUACUAUUAAACGAAAAGACCUCAUUUUGUGUGUCGCUUCUCUUCCUUCCACAAUAAAUUAAUCAUCAUGCCUCUGUGUCCUAUAGGUACCAUGUAUUGUCGCAUUUGUCAUCCAUUCUUUUGAUUAUUCAGUCUGGGUUAUUUUGGGAGAAAAACGAAAAAAACUGCGUCCGGAUAUUUUUCCGUCAUUGGACGAAAUUUUAAGUCAGACUAGACAUCCGGUUUGCGUU